CUCCGGUUGAUCCUGCCGGACCCGACUGCUAUCGGAUUGAGAUUUAGCCAUGCGAGUCGAACGUCCCCCUGUUGCGGGAGGCGUGGCGUACGGCUCAGUAACACGUAGUCAACCUGCCCUGGAGACAAGGACAACCCCGGGAAACUGGGAUUAAUCCUUGAUAGGUCAUCUCAUCUGGAAGGAGAGAUGGCUUAAAGGGGUACGCGGGCUUCUUCCGCGAAUCUGCUCCAGGAUGGGACUGCGUCCGAUCAGGCUGUUGGCGGGGUAAUGGCCCACCAAACCUGUAACCGGUACGGGCCUUGAGAGAGGUGGCCCGGAGAUGGACACUGAGAGAAGGGUCCAGGUCCUACGGGGCGCAGCAGGCGCGAAACCUUCGCAAUGCGCGAAAGCGUGACGAGGUUAAUCCGAGUGACUCCCGCUGAGGGGGUCUUUUGUCAGCUGUAAAUAGGCAGGCGAAUAAGGGGAGGGCAAGCCUGGUGUCAGCCGCCGCGGUAAUACCAGCUCCUCGAGUGGUCGGGGCGAUUAUUGGGCCUAAAGCAUCCGUAGCCGGUUCCGUAGGUCCUCUGUUAAAUCCAACCGCUUAACGGUUGACCUGCAGAGGAUACCGCGGGACUAGGAGGCGGGAGAGGCGGACGGUACUCCGCGUGUAGGGGUAAAAUCCUUUGAUCCGCGGAAGACCACCAGUGGCGAAGGCGGUCCGCCAGAACGCGCUCGACGGUGAGGGAUGAAAGCUGGGGGAGCGAACCGGAUUAGAUACCCGGGUAGUCCCAGCCGUAAACGAUGCUAGCUAGAUGAUUCAUUCGCAAGUCGCGAAUGAAGUGUCGCAGGGAAGCCGUUAAGCUAGCCGCCUGGGGAGUACGGUCGCAAGACUGAAACUUAAAGGAAUUGGCGGGGGAGCA
rnacentral:rRNA from 1 species